UGCUGCCAUGUCUGACACUGGGACUGGGGUACAUACAGCAGGGGCUCUGCUAAAGACUGUUGAAUGAAUAAAUGCGUGAGGCCUCAGUGGGCCUGAAGGUAUUAGCUAAACUUUCUACCCAUCAGGGUCUCAGGAUUCUGGGGCUAUGACCACUGCCACUACUAACAAUUUCUUCCACCAGCAGAAUAAGUAGCUCCCAAUUACUGAGCAUUUAGCGUGUGCCAGGCAUCGGGGUAAGCAUUUCUCUGUGCCAUCUUGCUCCCACCUUUCACCCAUCCUAUGGGGUGGGUGUUCUGUGAGUGUCCUCAUAUCACAGGUGGGGAAAUGAGCUCCACCGGGAGCCGUGGUAGAACCUGCACUGGCCCAUCAGAGCUCACAGCCUUUUUCCACGCCAAGUGAGGGUGGGUGGUUGGAGCCCAGAACAGGGGGCACCUGUCAUCCCUUCCAGAAUUUGCCUUUUUCCAUUGCCUCCCUGUAGAACUUCUCUCCUCCCUUGAAGACUUUGCUUCUCCUAGAACCUCUCUCAGACUCAUCAGUCUCCUUCCCAAGUUCCGUGCAACCUGGAAAUGUCAGUGUUCCCCAGAGGUCUGCCCUUAAACCUGCAGGCUGGUGGGGUGUCCUCACGGGUUCCUACCCACUGGGAAAGCCUUUCCCUGGAAGAUGCUGGGUCUUCAUCUGCUCCCACGUCUGGAGAACACCUUUGCCUCUUGGCUAACUGGACCCUGAAGCCUCCUGAUUGUAGGAUCUCCCUCCGCACCCUUGUCCCAGCAUGGCAUGACAUGGUGGGCUCCAGGAGUGAAGAUCAAGUCCAGUGGCCUUUCUCAUGGGGACCCUCGGUGACUCACUGCCUAAAUCUAGUUUGCUUCUUGACCAAUCCAAGACCCUUUAAGACAAAAUUUUAAUUUUUUUCUUUUUUGGAUGUAGACAGCACUUCACAGUUUACAAGUGUUUCCAGGUUUAUUUUCUCGUUCCAUGGUCUUUACCCCUCUGUGGAUUGUCAGGGACUGUGCUAUCAACCCCAGUUAUAGCUGGAAAAUUUGGUUCAGAGAGUUAGGGAUGGAACCAAGCCCCUGACUCUCUCCCAUCCUCAGACUUUUCCCAUCCAUGUCUUCCUCAACCUUGCAUUUCCCAAAUAGGAGCUGAAAACCAAGGAAAG
ensembl:lncRNA